UACGAAGGGGGCUAGCGUUGCUCGGAAUCACUGGGCGUAAAGGGUGCGUAGGCGGGUCUUUUAAGUCAGGGGUGAAAUCCUGGAGCUCAACUCCAGAACUGCCCUUGAUACUGAGGAUCUUGAGUUCGGGAGAGGUGAGUGGAACUGCGAGUGUAGAGGUGAAAUUCGUAGAUAUUGGGAAGAACACCGGUGGCGAAGGCGGCUCACUGGCUCGUUACUGACGCUCAGGCGCGACAGCGUGGGGAUCAAACAGG
rnacentral:rRNA from 1 species